rnacentral:rRNA from 1 species
CCUACGGGCGGCAGCAGUGGGGGAUAUUGCACAAUGGGGGAAACCCUGAUGCAGCGAUGCCGCGUGAAUGAAGACGGUCUUCGGGUUGUAAAGUUCUGUCGCAGGGGACGAAAAUGACGGUACCCGGCAAGAAAGCUCCGGCUAACGACGUGCCAGCAGCCGCGGUAAGACGUGGGGAGCAAGCGUUGUCCGGAAUGACGGGGUGUAAAGGGAGCGAAGGCGGGAGGAGAAGUUGACUGUUAAAUCUAUGGGAUCAACCCAUAGCUGCGUUCAAAACUGUUCUUCUUGAGUGAAGUAGAGGCAGGCGGCAUUCCUAGUGUCGCGGUGCCAUGCGUAGAUAUUAGGCGG